rnacentral:rRNA from 1 species
CCUACGGGAGGCAGCAGUAAGGAAUAUUGGUCAAUGGAGGCAACUCUGAACCAGCCAUGCCGCGUGCAGGAAGACUGCCCUAUGGGUUGUAAACUGCUUUUAUCCGGGAAUAAACCUACUUACGUGUAAGUAGCUGAAUGUACCGGAAGAAUAAGGAUCGGCUAACUCCGUGCCAGCAGCCGCGGUAAUACGGAGGAUCCAAGCGUUAUCCGGAUUUAUUGGGUUUAAAGGGUGCGUAGGCGGCCUGUUAAGUCAGGGGUGAAAGACGGUAGCUCAACUAUCGCAGUGCCCUUGAUACUGAUGGGCUUGAAUGGACUAGAGGUAGGCGGAAUGAGACAAGUAGCGGUGAAAUGCAUAGAUAUGUCUCAGAACACCGAUUGCGAAGGCAGCUUACUAUGGUCUUAUUGACGCUGAGGCACGAAAGCGUGGGGAUCAAACAGGAUUAGAUACCCUGGUAGUCCACGCCCUAAACGAUGAACACUCGCUGUUGGCGAUACACAGUCAGCGGCUAAGCGAAAGCGUUAAGUGUUCCACCUGGGGAGUCGCCGCAGGUUGAACUUAAUUGAUUGCGG